rnacentral:tRNA from 1 species
GCACCAGUAGUUUAUUGGUAGAAUACGAGCUUCCCAAGCUCGGGGUCCGGGUUCGAAUCCCGGCUGGUGCA